CGUGCGACUGGCGGUUUCUGUGGAGUGUGAGUGAUGAUGGAGAAGGACCCGGCCUCGGCCGUGGAGCGUCUGGGGCUCCCGCCCGGCCCCGCUUGCAGAGCCAGCACCGCCAGGUCUGCGUUCGCCUGCCCAGCCCCCUCGGCGGCGCUGGGCGGAGGGCAGCCCGCGGAGACACAUUCUCGAGCUGCUUCUAAGAGUCAGAUACCCCAGAGGUGCAAGGAGAUAGAACUCUACAAGGCUCUCAGCUCAACAGGCCUAGAGAAUGAAUUGUACAAAACCACCAAGCAGAGGCAGGUGAAGACUAUGGAUCCUGCUGUUAAGAAGAACAUUAAAAAAAGCUACAGACCGUUAAAUCAACAGAAAGCUGAGGAAGAGCUCAAAGAGAAGAACCAGCUGUUAGAGGCAGUUAACAGGCAGUUGCACCUGAAAUUGACUGAAAGCCAGGGAGAGGUGAAGGUGCUGACUCAAAAGGUGGAGUUGCUGGAGAAAUCUCAGGAUAGCUACUUGGCAGUUUUGGAGAGUGGCAAUAUUAACCCAGUUACAGGCAGACAAAUCCUGGAAAACCGGCAAGAAACAAUGAAAUGUCAAAUGGAGUCUGUGUUGCUCUUGGAAAGUCUGAAAGAUGAACUGAAGCUCUUUAAUCAGACAGCUACAAAGCAGAUGGAGGAGUUACAGGCAUUGAAAGUUAAGUUGAAGAUGGAAGAAGAGGAAAGAGCUGGUUUUCUAGAAAAACGGGCAGCAUUUAACAACAAAAGAGAUGAUUUCACAGCCACCCUUGAGCAAAUGGAACAAUUACUAUCACUUUGAGAAGAAAGGGGGUUCAUAUCUUCAGCUAAGGUCAAACUAUAAAAACAUUUUCUUAAGUUUUCCUAGGAAAGGACUUCCUUGCUCCCCUAACUAAAAUAUCUUCAGAAACAAAGUUGGGAUAAUCCAGGUUUGUACUGAGGGGUGUUCCUGCCUUAUAAGCCUAUGUUAGCCAAGCAGCCAGGUAAGUGAAUCAUCUAUUGGGGGAUAGUUUUAAGAUCCAACAAGGAAAGCUGGACCCUUGGACUACCUUGCUGUAGUUACUAAGUAAGCAAUACAGCUCUGAGAGCAGAAUCAGAAACUGAAACAAGUUAACAAGAACAAGAAGGAUCAUUUUCAGAUUGGGACUGGAAAUUUGAAAUGUUAAAAAAACAGUAUGUAGAGUGGACUAACAGGAAAGAGAUGCAGAGUCCCAUGUUGUCAUAACCCAAUUUUAGCCACGGUUUUUUUAGUGAGCUUUUCCUAGUUGGGAUUUAAGCAUAUCUUAUGGCAUGAACUCUCCCUUAUGCUACUUCCUUUCUACUCCCAGCCAAAUUUCUGAACUUGAA